UACGUAGGGUGCAAGCGUUGCUCGGAAUCACUGGGAGUAAAGCGCACGUAGGCGGCUUCUUAAGUCAGGGGUGAAAUCCUGGAGCUCAACUCCAGAACUGCCUUUGAUACUGAGGAGCUUGAGUCCGGGAGAGGUGAGUGGAACUGCGAGUGUAGAGGUGAAAUUCGUAGAUAUUCGCAAGAACACCAGUGGCGAAGGCGGCUCACUGGCCCGGUACUGACGCUGAGGUGCGAAAGCGUGGGGAGCAAACAGG
rnacentral:rRNA from 1 species